rnacentral:rRNA from 1 species
CUGCUGCCUCCCGUAGGAGUUUGGGCCGUGUCUCAGUCCCAAUGUGGCCGAUCAACCUCUCAGUUCGGCUACGCAUCAUUGCCUUGGUAAGCCUUUACCCCACCAACUAGCUAAUGCGCCGCGGGCCCAUCCAAAAGCGGUAGCAUAGCCACCUUUUACAUAGCUACCAUGCGGUAACUAUGGUUAUGCGGUAUUAGCACCUGUUUCCAAGUGUUAUCCCCCUCUUUUGGGCAGGUUGCCCACGUGUU